rnacentral:rRNA from 1 species
UACGUAGGGGGCAAGCGUUGUCCGGAAUCAUUGGGCGUAAAGAGCGUGUAGGCGGUCCGGUAAGUCCGCUGUGAAAGUCGGGGGCUCAACCCUCGGAUGCCGGUGGAUACUGUCGGGCUUGAGUACGGAAGAGGCGAGUGGAAUUCCUGGUGUAGCGGUGAAAUGCGCAGAUAUCAGGAGGAACACCAAUUGCGAAGGCAGCUCGCUGGGACGUUACUGACGCUGAGACGCGAAAGCGUGGGGAGCAAACAGG